GACAGAGGGUGCAAACGUUGCUCGGAAUUACUGGGCGUAAAGGGCGUGUAGGCGGGAAGGCAAGUCGGGCGUGAAAGCCCCAGGCUCAACCUGGGAACUGCACUCGAAACUGCCUUUCUUGAGUGCCGGAGAGGAAAGCGGAAUUCCUGGUGUAGAGGUGAAAUUCGUAGAUAUCAGGAGGAACACCAGUGGCGAAGGCGGCUUUCUGGUCUGCGACUGACGCUGUGGCGCGAAAGCUAGGGGAGCGAACCGGA
rnacentral:rRNA from 1 species